GAUGAACGCUAGCGGCAGGCUUAAUACAUGCAAGUCGAGGGGCAGCGCAGUGUAGCAAUACAUGGGCGGCGACCGGCAAACGGGUGCGGAACACGUACGCAAUCUACCCAAAACUGAUGAAUAGCCCUCCGAAAGGAGGAUUAAUACAUCGUAACCUAUUGAAGUGGCAUCACUUUAUUAGUAUAGCUCCGGCGGUUUUGGAUGAGCGUGCGGCUGAUUAGGUAGUUGGCAGGGUAACGGCCUACCAAGCCUACGAUCAGUAACUGGUGUGAGAGCACGACCAGUCACACGGGCACUGAGACACGGACCCGACUCCUACGGGAGGCAGCAGUAAGGAAUAUUGGUCAAUGGACGCAAGUCUGAACCAGCCAUGCCGCGUGAAGGAUGAAGGUCCUCUGGAUUGUAAACUUCUUUUAUAGGGGAAGAAACCGGAAUUUUCUUGUUCCGUUGACGGUACCCUGGGAAUAAGCACCGGCUAACUCCGUGCCAGCCGCCGCAGUAAAAC
rnacentral:rRNA from 1 species